rnacentral:rRNA from 1 species
GAUCCAGCAAUGCCGCGUGAGUGAUGAAGGCCUUAGGGUUGUAAAGCUCUUUCGCCCGCGACGAUGAUGACGGUAGCGGGAGAAGAAGCCCCGGCUAACUCCGUGCCAGCAGCCGCGGUAAUACGGAGGGGGCUAGCGUUGUUCGGAAUUACUGGGCGUAAAGGGCGCGCAGGCGGCUGCUCAAGUCAGGCGUGAAAGGCCUGGGCUCAACCCGGGAAUUGCGCUUGAGACUGGGCUGGCUUGAGUGCGGGAGAGGAUGGUGGAAUUCCCAGUGUAGAGGUGAAAUUCGUAGAUAUUGGGAAGAACACCGGUGGCGAAGGCGGCCAUCUGGACCGUAACUGACGCUGAGGCGCGAAAGGCUGGGGAGCAAACAGGAUUAGAUACCCUGGUAGUCCACGCCGUAAACGAUGAGUGCUAGACGUUGGGAGGCCUAGCCUUCCGGUGUCGCAGCUAACGCAUUAAGCACUCCGCCUGGGGGAGUACGGCCGCAAGGUU